CCUGAUAAAGGGUGUCUACAAAAACCCACAGCUAACAUCACACUUAAUGGAGAAAGACUGAAUGUUUUCCUAAGUUCAGUAACAAGACAAGUAUCGUUUUUGGGGUUGCAUAUUUAGGUGGUGAAACUCUAACGCAAAGCAAAGAAUUGAUUAUUAGUCCAGCCAGGAUAGUGGUUCCCUCCAGGACGGAAGGGAGAGAGGCAGCUAUAAUUGAGAAGGGGCACUCAGGGGUCUUCUGGAUGCUGGUGAUAAUCUAUUUCUGACCUAAUGGUGGUUUCAGGGGUGUUCAUGUUAUGACAAUUUGUUAUGCUGUAUACUUGUUUUAGGCACUUUCUUGUAUUUGCAUUGUAUUUCUCAAUAAAAUGUUAUGGAAAAAAUGACUAUUUAAAAAAAAUUUUAAAGUUAGCUUUUUUAGAAAGAAAAAUUAGCACCUUACUCCUCAUAAUUUCCUAUAUUCUUAAUAUUAGCAGUAACAAUUAAUAAAUAGCUGAAAUAAAGAAUUGCCCUCAGGAGCUUUUAUUGUAAUCAAAAUCAUGAUUUUAACGACUCAGAAUGGAACGUGCUUAACUGCUGAGUUUGGUUUUCUCCUCUGCACAGUGAUGGGGGCUAGGACGCUUUCCUUCUGGUUCUGGGUGGGGCCCACCGCGCAGGGCAGAAUGCAGGAGCACCAGCCAGCAAUCUCCCGAGUCUGUUCUCAGCUUCAAUCCAAACCCCUCUGACUGAAAAACAAUGUCAAAAAUUGGCCUUAAUUACCUAAAAGCUUUUUAUAUAAGUUCCUUAGAAGAUUAUUUAUAGCAAAGCCAUUUAAUGUCAUUAAGAUAAUUCCAUGUGCAUUUUUUUAAAAACUUAUUUUAAAUUCUAGUGAUGGCUCAAAAUGUCUUUCCUAAUUAUUUAAGUUUCACUUGCUUAAAAUGCAGCUUAAAAUAAAAAUUUGGAUCAAGGGGCUAAUCAGAAUUUCAUAAAACACGCAUGGAUAGAAAAUCGAGGGUAGGUAAAAAUCCCAUAACUAAAUCCUAAUUUACAUCAGUACUAUCGAGAAAAUGUAAAGCUAUGUAGGCAGCCUUUAGCAAAAGGGCAUGUGUAAUAACCUCAAUUCUUCUUUUUCCAGAGUUGGAAAAAAAUUAUUUAAAGCUUGAAUUUUUGUUAGGAGUACUCAUUUACUCUAAAAUUUAAAAAGAUCUCACUUUAGGAGAGAUCUGGAGGUUUUCUAAAAUAUAUGAUAUAGCAGCCCAUUCUUGUGUUUUGUUACACAUGAUAAAGUUUCAAAUUUGUUAGUAAAAUGUAGAAUUCCCUUCUUUGUGAUUCCUUUUCAUCUUUUCUACGUCUAGAAAGUAGCUCCCCAUCCAAUUCUCAUUUUUCCAAUUAAGCUCAUUCAUUCACAUAACAAGUAUUGAACAUCUAAUACAUGAAACACUGUUCUAGGUAGACAUCAGAAAACAGACAAUAUUUCCCACCCCAUGGAGACAAAAAACAGAAUAAGUAUAUUACAUGAUAAUUAGAAGGUAAUAAGAGCCAUGAGAAAAAACCUAUAGCAAGGUUCUAGAGAUCAAUAGUGUCAGGACAAGGGCUGGGAGGUGGGGCUUGUUGAGAUUAUAAACAAGGUGAUCAGAGAAGAACUCAUGUGAAGAGAUGCCAUUUGAGGAAGCUACUUAAAGAAGGUGAGUGGGUAAGCCAUGUAGAAAUUUGGAGGGAGAACAUCCUAGGUGAAGGGAAGAGCAUGUGCAAAAGCUCUGAGGCCAGAGGAUGCCUAGAGUGUUCAAGGAACAGCAUAGAGUUCACUAUGGCUGGAGCAGAGGGAGCAAGUGGAAGAAUAAUCAGAGAUGCAGUCAGAGAGGUGAGGGGGAUCUCGUGUGACAUCAUAAGGACUCUGAUAUUUACUCUGAAUAAAAUGGGAGUCAUUGGAAAAUUCAUGAUCUAACUCUGGUUUUGACAGAUCGUUCUGACGGCUUUGUUGAAAAUACACUGUAGGGAGACAGGGUAGAUGCAGAGUGACCUGUUAAGAGGAUAUUACAAUAAUCCUGGUGAGAUGUGAUGGUGGCUUGGACCACAAUGUAACCGUGAAAGUGGUAACUGGAGGUCAGAUCUUGGAUAGAAGCUGAAGGUAAGAUUUUUCAGUGGAAGGAUGGAGUGGUUGUCAACUGAGAUGAAGAAGAAUAUGGGUGGAGGGGGGAUGGACAGGAUUAGUUCAACUUUUGACAUGUUAAGUUAGAUACCCAUUUGACAUUAAAGGACAACUUCGAGUAGUGUAAUGGGUUGAACAGUGGCACCCCAAAAUCGUGUCCACCCAGAACCUCAGAAUGUGACUUUAUGUGGAAAUGGGAUCUUUGCAGAUACAAUUUUUUAAAUUAAGAUGAGAUCAUACUGGAUUAGGAAGAGCUCUAUAUCCAAUGACUAGUGUCCUUAUAAGAAGGCCAAGUGAACACACAGAGACAGACAAAGGAGAACGUAAUGUGAGAAUGGAGGCCGAGAGUAGAAGAGUGAUGUGUGUACAGACCAAGUCAUGCCAAGGAUUGCCUGCAACCACCAGAAGCUAUGGGAGAGACAUGGAACAGCUUCUCCCUCAAUGCCUCCAGAAGGAACCAACCCUGCGGACAACUUGAUUUCAGACUUCUGGCCUUCUAAACUGUGAGAUCAUAAAUUUCUGUUUUAUGCCCCCUAGUUUGUGGUAAUUUGAUAUGGUAGCCCUAAGAGAAUAAUAUAAGUAGGCGAUUGAAAAUAUGAGAGUGAAGUUUAGGGGAAAGAUCUAGACCAAAGAUAUGAAUUUGCGUGUUGGAAUCAUGUAGACAGUGUUUAGAGCCAUGAGAUUAAAUUUGAAGAAAAUUGAUGCACAUAGGCAAGAGAACAGCAAGUACCAAGCCCUGGGGCAUCAAUGUUAAGAGUUUGAGAAGAAGAGAAGGAAGCAGGUAAGGAGAAUAACCGGUGAGGUGGGAGAAGAGGCAGGAGAGUAACAGCCUACAAGUCUCAUGAAGAGUCUUUUUUGAUGGAGAGUGGUCAGUUAAAUCGAGCGAGAUAAAAAAUCAAAAUUUCGCAUUGAACUGAUUAAUACAAUGGCCAUUUGGCAAAUUUCACAAAGAGUGUUUUGUUGGAGUCCUGGGAAAGAAAGUCCAAUUUGGAGUGGAUUCCGGGGAGUACGUGAGAAAAGGAAUUGUAUACAAUGACUGUAGAAAAGACAAGCGGCAAAACAGUGUAAUUUUGCUUUAAAAAAGAGCAGUCAAAAUGGGGUUUCUGGAGGAAUAAGUGAGGUCAAGAGAAGGUUGUUUGAAAACGGGAAAAAUAAUGGCAUACUUACAUGAAAAAGAGAGUGAUCCAGGAAAGAGGUGAAAAUGGAUCUCUGUAGGAGAUUCCGGGAAGGGGUGAUGCCCUUGUGGAGGGGAGAAGGGAUGAGAUCUGGGGCUACAAGGGACUACAGGUGGUGACUGAGCACUGGAAACGUGGUGAGUCCCAAUUGAGACGUGCUGUACGCACAAAAGACACACCAGAUUGCAUAGACUUAGAAUGAGCAAACAAAUGUAAAAUAGCUUAUGAAUAAUUUUUACAUUGAUUACAUGUUGAAAUAAUAUUUUGAGUAUAUUGAGUUAACAAAAAGAUACAAUUCAAAUUCUUUUCACCUAUUUCUUUUUACCUUUGGUACUAGAAAAUUUUUAAUUCCUCGUGUGGUUUGCAUUAUAUUUCUAUUGGACAGAGCUGCUCCAGUGCCCAAGGGAAGGAAUCGGCCUUACAUUGGAGCAAGAACAGUCUGUCUAAGAUACUAAGAGGGAAAGCAGUGCAUAGGGGUGAAAUGCUGGUGGGUGAGCGGAGGAGGUGGUGGGUGUUUGAAAAAGGCUUUAGUUUUCUCAGUGAAUGAAGAAGGAAGAUAAUCCCUAAAUUGGGUUCAAUUAACUGUGUAGAAUUCAUUUGGUGAAGAAUGUAAGGUAAGAAUCUAAAUAGAUUUUCCCCAAAUAACUGACCAUUUGCCCCAGAACCACUUAUUAAGUAAGACUUCCUCCCCACUGAUGUGUGAUGGCUUGUUUUUCAUAAAAUAAAUUCUGUGAUUUCUUUCUGAGCUGUCUGCUCCAUUGAUCUGACAAGGCUUCCACUUGACCCAUAAUGGUUUAAUUAUUGUAGCUAUUGAAGGGGUUCAGAACAUGCCAGCCAAAAACAUGCCAUUUUGGCACAUUGAUUAUUUUGAGCUGAAGGCACUUGAAAAACAGCAGAUGCAGGACUGGCUCUCUGAUCUCCCCCUUUCUACCUAAAAGCAGAUCAUAAAAUUUCCCAAGAGAAAGGUGCCUCACUGCACCAGGAAGAGAAGAGCAUCCUUAUCGUGGGAGAUGGGCAAUCAAUACCAGAACGCACGUGCACGAACAACCUGCUAAAAUAAGCUUCAUCUUCCAGUGAGCCUUUCAAGAAAACACAGUCUUCUGUAUUGUACGUCUUGCCUGGGCCUGCCUAUGGGCAAGUCUGCCUAAUUUCAGCCUUCUUGACCACCAGACUUAAAGCUUGUUCGGAACCCAGGUGGAGAAGAGGACAGUUAUUAAUUGAAGCUUCUUCAGAGACCUUAAUAUUAUUCAUCAAUUAUUUUGGAACAGGAUUUGUGAGUUAUUUUUAGAUGCUACAAUAACAGAGAAAGGCCUAAAGCAAGGGCAUCUGGGCUUAGCUAAUUAGACAACGAUCCCCCCCCUCAGCGAUUUCUGGAACUCUCCAGUUGGGCUCACAUAUGUCCAUGGUUCAGCCCUGCUUAUUGCUCACUUCCUGACUUCACAGUCUCUCACCCGCCAGGUUUACAGAGGUGCCACCGAGCUAGAACAUUAUUCCUAAUGCCAAGUUGAUGUGGCCAAAAUUAAUGUCUAUUUGUGAGGCUGGAAACCCACCACACGUUGUUGCUGUUGGGAGUAGAGUCCUGCUGUACUUGGGUGUCAGUAAAACUGACUUCUAGUAUAAGGCUCCUCCUGAUUCCUAGAACCACUGACACCCCAAGCUCCCAAGGCCACAGACCUUCCUCCCUCAUUAAAUUUUCUCCCUCAGGGGUCCCCAUAACUCUCCCUGUAUUCUGGCUGCUUUGGAACCACUGGUACGCUUUGAACACACACACACACACGUGUGUGUAAACCCCUUGGGGGGUACAUGGUUCAAGUGUUCUUCCUGGGUGGCUCCUCAGCUCCCAUGUAAAUCAAGGAUUCAAAUAUAUCUACAAGGGGAGGGUUAUCCCCAACCUUCACUCUCCAGAAGCAUAUGAAUCUCAGCCAUGACCUUGUGUUAAGGUCUAUUUUAAAAGUUGAGCCCAAGGUGAAGAGUCCUGCCUUCUAAACACCCCCUGGGCUGUUUCUCUAUUCAAAAAUCUCUUUGAUCAAUUCACAUGAAUGUAGUGGAGAAAAUGUGAACUUUUGGAAUGAAGUCAGAUAAGAAUAUCUCACAAAACAGCUUAUUUCUUCAUGUUCUGUUUGAAUCCCAUGAUGGGGCCAGGAUUCCAGGACAAGAGGUAAUUAAACUGAGAAGCAGAUUAGGACUCAGCAAUAAAAUGAGGUCAUUUGUGACAAUUCUACGGAGAAGCAUGCACCAUAGGCUGACUUGAAGCUCCUUACAUUUAUAGCAAAAUUCCAAUGAUAGAACGAUUUGGCGUGUGGACUCUCGCUUCCUUAUUGUAUCCAUAUGCCCGGCACCAGUGUAGCGGGCACCCAACAGGCAAACAAUUGAUGAUGAAUGAAUGAAUGAAUGAAUGAUGUUUUAAAGAAUCUCCAGACAGAUCACUACAUUCUGCUAGGGAAGACAGCCAAGCCUGGUGCAGCAACCCAAGCCCAUUUCUCUAAAAAAUGCUGAUUUAGCUAUUUUCCUCUUCUCUCUCAAAUGCUAAUUUUUAUUCCGUCCUCUUUAGUCUCUUUAUCCUCUUAUUUUGCUUCAUUUCUCCCUUUAGACUCUUAUCUAUGGGCAACAAACUCCCUGUUAUUUGAUAUGAUUGUGGAAGAGGGAAUUCUCUGGGUAACAGACUCCAGAAAAAGUGGAGUAACUCUUUCUGCCACUACCAUCCUACCUGUCCUUGGGCCAGUUGUUUAACCAAUCUGGGACUUAAAUCUCUCACCCCUAGUGAGGUUAGUAAGAACAGUUCUAUGGAUUGCUGGCAAAGUGUGAGUGGAAGAUAAAAGGACAGUUGAAAAUACUUUCUUGAAAGUUAAAAGUUAAAAGUCCUAUAUUUUAUGUUCUGAUCCCUGUUCCCAAUGCAACCAAAAAGAGCCAAGCGUGAUAACUGAGUGCAAUGAGAGCCAGUUAAAGCAAGAUUUCUUUCUCUGUGGUCCUGAGGCCCCCAGCAGCCCUAUAGGUAUGCAUUUGUCAUCAGUAUCUAUCCUCUGAAUGAGACACAGAAAAACACAACCACGAGAGAAAUAGAGAUGGGAAAAGGUGUGGUUCUGAUGAUGGUUCAGGAAGGAAACAUCUUUCUUCCAAUGUCAGUGGGGGCUACUUGGGAACUGAGAAGAGAGGUCUGUGUGUGGCCCUGUGAUCUUCUGGGCAGGGUUGUGUCAUGUGCUGCAUCCUUAUAGUGAAUAGAAGAGAAGAAACAACUGAGAGAAAAAUUAAAGAUAUAUGUGAAGUAGGAAAAAUUGAUGGUGUGAUGAUGAUAAUGAUGACCACCAUUACCAAGUGUCUACCAAAUGCCAGGUGUUUUACUCAGCUUUGUACUAUAUUUAUCUCUCAUCUUCCCACAGCACUAUGAAUUAGAUGUCAUUAUUCUUAUUCUGCAGAUCAGGACAUAAGCUCAGAGAGGGUCAAUAACUUGCUCAAAGUCAUAUAACUACUAAGUGGUAGAACCAUGACUUGAGCCCAAAUCAAUUUUAACUCUUAAGCCUGUAGUUUUUGUUUUUUAUUUUUCAUUGCCAUUGGCUAGACUGAUUUUUUCAAGUUCUUAGGGAAUAGGGGAGCCAUUAGCUUUGAAAGGAAGAGAGAGGAGGAAAGGAUGAAAGGAAGGAAGCAUACUAAGAAAUGUUCAAAUGGUUUCUAAGUAUCCAGAGGGAAGUAGCUAUAUCUGUCUUGUCACUGUUGUAUGUUCAGUGCCUAGUUGUGGACAAAAUAGGAGUUUAAUAAACAUUUCUGAAAGAAUGAAUGAGUAGAUGAAUGAAAAAAUAAAUAAAAUAGCUCAGCAACUUUCUGAAGGGCACAGAAGGGAGAAUGAGGAACUUUUGAUUGACUUUGUCCUGUCUCUUUUAUUCUUGAGAGAAGAUGUGAGAGGAUGAAAAAAGUAGAUAAGAUUCAGAACAGCCAUCUGGGGAAUGUGAUAGAGAAGUCAACAGAAGAUGAAGCCAAGAAUGGCUCAGCCACGAUGACAACUCUCCAGAAGUUUAGCGGUGUUGGAUCCUAGAAGCCUGAAGAGAGUUGAUUUUUCUUAAAAGAACACUUCGUAAGAUGUGAUGUGUACUUCUACACGGAAGAAUCUGGACAUUUCUUUUUGAGAACUUUGCAUCCACUGAUGACCAUGGCUAAGAUUCAUUAUUUCAUUGAGAGUUGCAAAAUGAUUGAUGAACAUAAAGCUUUCAGAGAUGGAGCUGCCACCGUGUACCAGUCCAGAAUUUAACAGGAAUGCUGCCUCCAGGAGUCAUGCAAUACAGGGCCCUGGAAACAAGAGCUCUGCGGCUGGCAGCAGAGAGGGCCUUGACCUUGAUCCUAUGGCAGGAUGUAAGAUUCCACUUGUUUUCAAAUGCUGGGCCCUGCUUUGCUUGUGCUUAUGGAAAAACAUAGUUACAGCUUUAAUGUUCUGGCCUUUGGUAUAACACAGUAUACCGUACUAUAGAAUCUUGUGAGAAAUGCAUGCUGCUUGGAUAAUGUUCAUUUAAUCUUGAUUUUACUCUUUUUUUUUCUUUUUUCCAGAAAACUUGAGACAAGAGUCAAGUAUGAAAAGCUUUGAGUGCUGUCACUUCUUGAGGCCAAAUGAACCCUGCAUUCUAAGUCUUAACAAUAGAGCAAUCAUUUGUCUCAUAAACAUUGAAUAAUUUUGGCUUUUUUUACCAGACAAUAGCUUGAUUGCAUUGAUAGUUUCUUGACCUAAGGAGCAAGGUGACAAAAGCAAAAAUGGGCAAAGAAGAAAGCUCUCGGCUGAAAGAUAAAGGCUAAAAUAUGUACGAAAUUCACUGCUAGCCCCCGGUGAAGGUGCUACCAGGUUCUUACCCACAAGUGGGGGUGGGGAGGUUGAGGAGGUCUCAGCCACCCAGGAUGACGUAGAGAAAGUUGUGAGAGAGUGCUGUAGACAUUUGCUGAAGAAAAGUGAUCAAAUACAGCCAACUUUAAUACAAAUGCAUUCUUAAGUACACAAUGUGAAUUAAUUAUGUUCUUGAACAUUUAACUAAAGUAGAUAUACUUGAACACCUUCUGUGCAGGCAGGUGCUGGUAGGCACUGGGAAUUCAAUACUGAACAAGACUUCUGGUGUGUGCUUUCUAGUUAGAGAAGCUAACGAACAAGAAACUAUUGAUGCCACUGCUGAGUGGGGUGAGCACUACAAGGAAAUAGAGCCCUGUGAUGGACCGUAACAGUACUCCUAGAUCAAAGGGUCAUGGAAGGCCUCUUAGGAGGUGACUUGGAAGGUGAAGAUGAAAGGAUGAAGUUAGAUAUCCAAAGAACUAGGGGUAGGGGAUGUGGAACAUUCCAGCAAGGAGAAUGGCAAGUGCAAAGACUCAAGCUAUAAGAGUUUGACAUGUCAUAUGAAAAGAAAGAAGUCUUGCAUGGUUGAAAGCAUCAAGAGCAAUGAAGAGAGUUCCAGAAGAUAACAUUGCAGGGGCAGGCAGAAGCCUGAUCAUGUAGGACAGCAGUAAGGAUUUUAUUCUGGGCUAAUGGAUUUUGGACUUUUUGAGCUCCAGAACUGUAAGAGAAUAAAUAUGUGUUGUUUUAAGUCA